UGUUGAGUUAGUGCCCCUCAAACAGAAUAGAUACAAUGCAGCCAACAGGGUCUGUGAACUGGACUCUGUCUGUGGUUUAGAAGCUCUACUUUGACCCUGCUCACAGAGCAAGUCCUUCUGUGAUCCUCCUAACAGAGCAAGACCAGCCUUCUAGAUCCUUCUCCAAGCCACAGAGGCCUGCUCAGAUGCUCAAGCCUGCAUUCCAGCCCUGCACUGAUCGCUGCCCAAGUCAGGCCUCCCUAAGAUGAAUGACAACUCUGCUCCAGUGGGCAUCCUCUUUUUUUAAUGAAAAAAUUUUUAAUCCUUUUGCAGCCACCAUGGGAGAGUGGCCAUGACUCUGUGCUACCUCAUGGCCCUGGCCCUUAGCAAGGGCCAUAAGGUGACAAAGAACCUGAGCAAGCCAAGACACAGCCAUCGAGGGUGCCUCACCAAGCACACCAAGUUCAUGCAUGCAGGAUGUGAUCAGGCAGCUUCACACCCUGUGAGAGGAGCAUCAUGGAGAUGCCCAAGGGUCUCCAUGUAGCCAUACCCAGCCAUGAAGACAGAGCCUGGCUAGCCUGGAGAUCACAGAGAGCCUGCCUUCGCCUCCAGACUGCUAAGAAUAGAGGCAUGCUCCACCACACCUGACAAACCUGACCAGGAGGGGGCAGCAUAGAGCUGCAUGAGGCCAAGCCAUGAGGCCCACCCUGGACACUGCUGCAGGUCACAAGGACCCACAUGAGGGGUGUUUUGCAGCUGACUGGAACCAUCUUCUCCCAGAAUAUACCUGCUCCUGUCAUAAAGAUGAGGACUUUGGACUGGGGAAAUAGUUCAGUGAUAAAGUGCCUGCCAUGCAAGCAUGGGGACCUGGGUUCAAAUCCCCAGAACCCAUGUAAAGCCAGGUAUGUGUGUGUCUAUAAUCCCAGUGCUCCUAUGGUGGGAUGGGAGGCAGAGACCAGGGAAUCCUCAGAAGUGUGCAGGCAAUCCAGCCUGGUGUAUACAGCAGUGCCCAACAAGAGACCCUGUCUCAAACAAGGUGGAAGGGGAGGACACCUGUCCUCUGAUC